rnacentral:rRNA from 1 species
UACAGAGGGUGCGAGCGUUAAUCGGAAUUACUGGGCGUAAAGCGCGCGUAGGCGGCUUCGCAAGUCGGGUGUGAAAUCCCCAAGCUCAACUUGGGAACUGCAUUCGAGACUGCGUUGCUAGAGUAUGGGAGAGGGAAGUGGAAUUUCAGGUGUAGCGGUGAAAUGCGUAGAUAUCUGAAGGAACAUCAGUGGCGAAAGCGGCUUCCUGGACCAAUACUGACGCUGAUGUACGAAAGCGUGGGGAGCAAACAGG